rnacentral:rRNA from 1 species
AUGGUGGCACAGAAUCGGAGGCCCCGACUGUUUACUAAAAACACAACACAGUGCAAUCAUUAAUAUGGUAGUAUACUGUGUGAAAUUUGCCCAAUGCCAUUAAUAUAAAAGCGGUCAUAGGAAACUGUGACUAAUUGAAAAUCUGGUUAAUAGCGGUCUUAACCAUGAGGAUCCUAAGGUAGCAAAAUAAAUUGGCCAUUAAAUGUGGUCCGGUAUCAAUAAUGUAACGAUGGCCUCACUGUCUCUACAACUUGCUCAGUGAAAUUGAAUUACGCGUGCAGAUGCGCGUUACCUCCAGUUGGACGGG